CCCAGACUCCUACGGGAGGCAGCAGUGGGGAAUAUUGCACAAUGGGGGAAACCCUGAUGCAGCGACGCCGCGUGAGUGAAGAAGUAUUUCGGUAUGUAAAGCUCUAUCAGCAGGGAAGAUAAUGACGGUACCUGAGUAAGAAGCCCCGGCUAACUACGUGCCAGCAGCCGCGGUAAUACGUAGGUGGCAAGCGUUGUCCGGAAUUACUGGGUGUAAAGGGAGCGUAGGCGGGAAGCCAAGUCAGCUGUGAAAACUACGGGCUUAACCUGUAGACUGCAGUUGAAACUGGCUUUCUUGAGUGAAGUAGAGGCUGGCGGAAUUCCGAGUGUAGCGGUGAAAUGCGUAGAUAUUCGGAGGAACACCGGUGGCGAAGGCGGCUUACUGGACUGUAACUGACGUUGAGGCUCGAAAGCGUGGGGAGCAAACAGGAUUAGAUACCCGCGUAA
rnacentral:rRNA from 1 species